AAGAAUUUAGUUAAACUAUAACAUUAGCUUGUCAAGCUAAAAUUACUAAAAAUUAUCUUAGUACUUUUUA
rnacentral:tRNA from 1 species